rnacentral:rRNA from 1 species
GACGAACGCUGGCGGCGUGCUUAACACAUGCAAGUCGAACGGAAAGGCCCUGCUUUUGUGGGGUGCUCGAGUGGCGAACGGGUGAGUAACACGUGAGUAACCUGCCCUUGACUGUGGGGUAACUUCAGGAAACUGGGGCUAAUACCGGAUAGGAUCUCCUGCUGCAUGGUGGGGGUUGGAAAGUUUCGGCGGUUGGGGAUGGACUGGCGGCUUAUCAGCUUGUUGGUGGGGUAGUGGCUUACCAAGGCUUUGCCGGGUAGCCGGGCUGAGAGGGGGACCGGCCAAAUUGGGACUGAGAUACGGCACGGACUCCAAUGGGACGGAGGGGAGGGGAAGGUUAUACAAUGGGCGGAGGCCUGAUGCAGCAACGCCGCGUGGGGGAUGACGGCCUGGGGGUUGUAUACCGAUGUCGCCUGUGACGAAGCGUGAGUGACGGUAAUGGGUAAAGAAGCACCGGCUAACUACGUG